rnacentral:lncRNA from 1 species
UCACAUUAACCAACAACCUACCCUGUUUUUCACUCUAAUUUAAGGGAAAUAAACAUAUUGUUUACAUGACAGGGAAGACAAAUGACACAUGCUCCUUUUCAGUGGCAAAACAAUUUCACUCCUGAAGAUAAGUGUUGGAAACAUGCACAUCUUCUUAUUUGACACCUGACCAAGCGAUUGGAUUGCUUCCAGUAUUACAACGACCAAAGGUCAUGAAACAUCAGUGUGAAUCCCAUAUCACAUCAAUUUGGAUUUUCCCUUUCAUAUCUGCAUUGUGUAAAGUUGGAUCAGAUUGCAGUAUUUAUAUGUAAUUUAGCAAGAGUUCUACCAAGCCAUUAACUAUAGAAUCCAAAUUUAUUUCUUAGGAAAACAUUGAUAUUAUUUAGGAGUGAAAGACAUACCUGAGCCCACAAAUUAUUUUUGGAAUAUAAAUUGAUUAAUAUCAGUAGCAAGUUAGGAAAGUCAUGUAUGUGGCUAAUCAGUAGUUAGGAAGGUCAUAUCUCCAUAAGCGAUAGGUAACUACUUCAUAAUUCACAACAUGAAACGAUUUCAGACUUGUAAACACAUUUCGUAAAUCAAAAACCAUCUAAAAACAUUUUAGAAUUUGUUGGCGUGCCCAUAUAUGGAUUAAAAAAGUGAUGACUCAAAUAAAAAUAAAAAAAGCUAACAAAGUAUGGUUGACUACAAAAUAGCUUGAAUAAAUAUCAAUCAAAGAAGAACGAACCGGCAUCAACCCUCUAAAACGUCUCUAUAGACAAUAUUCUUGGUGCUUUUUCCUGAUUUAUCAAUCUGUUUAUUCGGCUUGGCCAAAAUUCGUGUCGUCCGCCUUGAUACACCCCUUGACAAGGCAACAUACAACUGACCAUGGGAAAACACUGGCUCGGGAAGAUAAAUGCCAACAUUUGGGAUGGUCUGGCCCUGCGCCUUGUUAAUGGUCAUCGCAAAACUUAGGCGGAUGGGGAAUUGUUUCCUCUUAAGCUUGAAGGAAAGUGAGAUGUCCUCCGAUGGUGACAAAGGGAUCCUCGGUAUAAAGACCCUCUUCCCAACAUGUUGCCCACCAACAAUCUCUGCAUCAAUUGCAUUAUCUUGGAAGGCUCUAAUCGUUAGCCUUGUUCCAUUGGAGAGGCCAUUGUGAGGAUCGAGGUUCCGUAGAAGAAUGACGGGGCAAUUGACCUUCACUUUCAACACAUGUGGUGGCAAUCCAUUUGGGGUGAGCGAAUUCACAAAGUCAAUCGGGUAAUUGUUCGAGUAUUCAUCCUCAAUAGAGUCGAAGCUAUGGUAUACCUUCUCUUGGCCAGGAAACAUGUCAAUCAUCUUGGAAUUCAGCUCAUCAACAUAGUCAUUCUUCAUGGAAAGAAUAGCACACGAGCUCAUGUACUCUCCCGAUUUAGCAUUGUCACUAAGAGAGGGGAAAACUUCUUUGAUUAGCCUAUUGAUUGCGGUUUCAUCAUCAGUAUGACCGAUCACAAUGUCCUCAGGGAGACGCACAUAGUCAUCACCUAUCGUUUCUUAGGUUCCAUUGCCAAUCCUUAAGAGAUACUCAGAGAACAAAGAGUCAGCUUGUGAUCUGAUGUUACGUGUAAGGUGUAUCUUAUGAAUCUUCUGCCAUAUAUAGGAUCUCUAUAUUGUAGCAUCGGUGAUCUGUGCACUUGUCCCUUUUGGAACCACUGGAAGGACCAGCCUAAAAUCUCCACCAAAAACGACAAUCUUCCCCCCAAAUGGCAAAGCACAUCCCAUUAUGUCUUGGAGUGACCUAUCAAGCGCCUCCACGGCUUGACGCUUUGUCAUGGCAACUUCAUCCCAAAUUAUCAAGGCCGCCUCUUUCAACAAUUCCGCCGUACCACUUUGCUUUGUGAAACCACACACGCUGUUGUUGGUGAGUUUAAUGGGUAUUUUGAACCUAGAGUGUGCAGUACGCCCUCCAGGUAAUAUCGAGGCUGCUAUACCUGAUGUAGCAGUGGCAAUGGCUAUCUCACCCAUCGAACGCACCUUAGCAAGCAACGCCUUGAACAAGUAUGUCUUCCCAGUGCCUCCUGGAGCAUCGAGAAAGAAGACUUGGCUUCUUUUGUUCAUGAUAUGGUCCAUUAUGUCAUUGAACCCAGCUAGUUGCUCACUGUUUAAAGAGUUUAUAAGAUCAAUAUAUUCUUGGUCCACACCGACCUCCCUCUCCUCUCUAACCUCCAUGCACUCAUCGCCUAGAAAAGCAUUUGUAUCAACCAGCUCCAGAAGUCCAUAGGUUUUAAUAUCCUUCCCCAUGGAAUGCAACAAAUCCCUGAUGUCUCUAAGGACCAUCUGCUCAGGUAUUGCCUCGUUGGGCUGGGAACAUUGGUAAUCCUCCGACAUCGACUCUAGGUGUUUGUCCCACAACUUUCGGAUUUUUGUAACCUCACAAAAUACUAAGAUAGUGGCAAACAAGCGUCUAAGAGCACAAGGCAUCUGAAAUGUGGCAGCUUCAGUCAGGCAGUGAUCAAGUGAUUUGUCGUGCUCAAUUAAUCCUAAUUGUUCACACGCCUCUUUGAAAGUAGAGCACGCAAUGCCUCGCACCUUUUUCAAAUCAUCAUAUGAUGUCGCACCUCGGACAUGAUUCAAGAGCACCCGCAAAUAGUACCUCUCCUCCUCAGCAGGGUGUGCAUACACAAUUCUACCAAUUUGUGGCCUUUGUUUUCGUUUAUACCAUCUCUUCUUUGAUGCAUCCCAUCUAAAGUGUUCCGGAUAAUCUCUGUACAGCCAUUGUCGUGCAUAAUGAUUCUUCCGAUUCAUUUCGAAGUAGUCAGUAAGCAUGGUUCUCGAAGAAGAUGGCUUAUCAACAACAUCUUUCAGAUUAUCAUCGGCUUUAAAUGCGACCAUGUGCAUGCCUGGCAAAUGAAGUUGCAACUGCAAGACUGAAGGACUAAUUCCAAACAUUUUAAAGCGUAAAAUCCUGUUGAUAGCCUCUGGAGGUGAUACAUAUCGUGCAUCUCGGUAUUAGCGGAUCUCAUUAAUGACCCCCCCCCAUUGUUGAUGAUAUCCUACUCGAAUGAAAAUGAUGUUCGGUCAUGUCCCUUGUAAAUGUACUUGAACAAAUACUUCACUGCCUUGAUGCUCGAGCAAGCUUCUACAUUGAUGUGGCAGUUGUACUUCAUGAGAAGAAAAGGGUUGUGAGGCACCACCCACCUAUUGUCCAACUCUGCUCCUCUCACUUUUACUCGACGUCCGUCAUCCCGCCUCCUAUAUAUGGGAUAUGAGUCCUUUCCCUGUUGUGUAGCGGGGCAAAACUCCCGAGGAUAGUGAAAACGACACUGCUCCUCAAUCAUGCAAGCACAUUUUUUAUUGAGGACACCACAUGGCCCGUGCAACAUGUGUUUUAUGACCAGAGCAUGCAGGACAGGGUAUUUAUUUUUAUCAGGUAUGUCUGCUGAUAUGACUCUGUCAUGGUCAUCUGGAGUCUUUAACUUGCUACCUGCCUUCAUGAUUAGAAGGAUAUGUUCGUGUGGGAGCCCUCUUUUCUGAAACUCGGUCACAUGAACAUAGGCCGCAACCUCGCCAAAAUGCUUCUUCUUGAUGAGUAAGUCCACCAAAUCUCGCUGCUUUGCUUUGUGCACUCUUGCAACCAGGUCUGGUCGAUCCUGUGGUAGCUGUCCGGGCAUCAACUCUGUUGUUAUGUCCUCCCAGUAUGGGUUGCAUGUCAUUGUGAUGAAGUAAUCUGGUUUACCCCAUCGCUGCACUAUGGCAAUUGCAUCUAGGAGCCUUCUCUGCAUAUCUCUAUCACCACCAGGAAAUGUCCUUGGGAGCACAAUCCUUUUACCAAUCCGAUCACCACAUGACUCACCAGCAGCGAUCGUGUCUACAAGACCCUACAUAGAAGAUACAUAAUGCGUGCAUUAAGAAUACCGAACUAUAUAUUAAAAGUGAGGUCGCUAAUGUCAUAUAAAAACAACCCCAAGAAUGGUACCUGGUAGAGGUCCGCGCGUAUAAUCUUCUGAUUUUCUGGCUUGGAGUACCAAUCCAGCCUCAUUGUCUCGAUCUUAAUGUACAUAUCAACGGACCAUUGUUGGAAAAGGCGCCCCCCAAACAGGACGAUGUUAAAAAGCUUCUUCCUGAUCAUCAGCUUGAAGCAGUAAUACUCCAUUGCAGAUACAUAUUUUCUUGAUUGAACAGGUUCGUCCUCCUCAUCCUGGUUGUCCUCGUUAUCGUUUGAAUGAAGAUUCAUAACAUUAAACAAAUUGGAGACCCUUAAAAUAGACGUGUACAAGUGAUGAAACUUACCUGCGGGCAAAUCAGCCAUGUGUUCAUCAAAUUGUUCAGAAUUAUCAAAUGUAGUCUGCAUUGUGUCAUCAUCUAUUUCUGUUAAAUUAACACUUGUAGGCAAGUCAGUAGACCGGUCUUGAACUUGUUCCGAACUACCAGCUGGACCUUUUAAACACAAGAAGUUCAAAAUAUUAGUUUUUGUUGUUGUUUUAAUUGACCAUGUUGCAAAUCUAAAACUAUAAAAUCAUACCCGUGUUAGACUCAUGGCCUUCAUCUUCUUCUGUAGGAACAUACGGCAACCAUCGAUUCCAACCAGUCUCCCCACCAGGAAAGAAUAAUGGAUACGCCAAAGGGUCAUAACAACCAUAGUAUGCUCUAUACAAGGGACGCUCUCCUGAUCCAUGCACGACAACAUGUCGAUCAAAGCAGUUCUAUGUGUCACCCCCUUCAACCCAUAUCGCUGCAACCUGGGAAGUUGUCGAGGCAUUGUACCAUCGCUGAUCCAGGGUUAUAUUUGUGUUUAUUUCAAUUCUAUAUUCAUCAAGGCUUGCUGAAGAACCAACAUGCUGAAAAGUCUGCACGUAAGGGUUGUGUUGUAGUAUACAUAGAAUUUUUCGAAUGAGAUCAAUAUUAAGAUCCGGUGACCUCAGGACCCGGUGCGCCAAGUUGUCAUCCGUAUCAUAAAUAUAUUGUUGCAAAUGUCGCGGACCAUGUUCACCAUGAACCAAAUGAUCCAAACGGUGGUACAGUUGUCCAUGUGCACGGAAUGUAUAUAUCCCAGUGCCUGCUGUAGUGCUGACUCGCUGGUCGAGUGUCACUCCAAGACUCGUGAAUGAGAAGUGUGAGUUGAAAUACCUUAUGUUAUCUCUGAAAUAUUUAGCAUCAUCAUCAUCCUGACUUGUAAACAAUCGUUUCAACUCAGCAGGCACAUCUGGAAUAGAUAUGCUAACUUUUCCUUUUCUACAACAAAAUGCCGGCCCCUCGUAUUGAAAUCGCAUUGCUCCGCAAUAGCUGCAAUCUUUAACUUUCUUCAAAACAUGAUGCUUCUUUGGCAGGUUAUGGUAGGCUUGGUUAUCAUCGACAUAAAGGGGUAUGCCAUUAGCAGCUACUUGGUAUGAUUCAAAUUGGGCAUCUGGAUAUGGACAUUUAAUUAAUUUACAUGUUUGAAAUGGUAGACUCUUUUGUUGGUAAAUCAAGAUAGUUUUAGAGAUGCAUACAUUGUUCAGAGAACAUCCUUGCUUCAUCGUCAAGCUCAUCUUGUGUGUGUUCUCCAUGGUGUAUGGCCUCCAAGCAUUCUAGUGGGAAAGAUAGUCAUUCCAUGACCAAGAGAAUGUAAAUUACACACUUUUACGUGUUUGGCCAAAGGGCAUGAAAAAAUACACGCAACAAUAUACAUACCCUGAAAGUUGGAUGUUUCCCCGCGGGGCUCAAGUAUUCCGUAGGGAUCUUCAGUCUGGUGCUUGUCUCCUGGCGAAUACUUGGUAAGAAUUCAUUAUUGAAGAUAGUACUUUAUGGAAAACAUCCAGCUAUUAAAUACUAAAAUAUUUACCCGCAAGAGCUUCACGCGGAUCGGUAGCACUGGACAUAUUGACAGGUCUUUUUUGUCUCUUAAUUUGCUGCAUCUCGUACAUAUCAUUUCUGUGCAGCCAAUCAGAAUCUUCGCUCGUAUUGAUAUUCACAUUUAUCUGCGAGGUACAUCCAUGGGCAGGCUCCCCUACACGUACAACAUAGAUGCUCUUUAAUCACUAUAUUGUUACAAUCUGUGAAAUAAUAUUAUGCGACAUGUACCUGGGGACAUAUCAGAGUUGAAGUUUGAUGCUACAACUUUGCUCCUCAUUUUGCUGUAGUCACGUUUCUUCUGCAAGAGAGAAGACAUUUGUUCGGGACUCAUUGAAUUGUAUCGGACUCUCUCACACAACCUUUUUUUUCUGCUGCACUUUGCUUGAGAGACGAUGGAACUAAAAGGCUCCCGGAUGAUCUUUGAU